rnacentral:rRNA from 1 species
CCUACGGGUGGCAGCAGUGAGGAAUAUUGGUCAAUGGACGAGAGUCUGAACCAGCCAAGUCGCGUGAAGGAUGACUGCCCUCUGGGUUGUAAACUUCUUUUAUAUGGGAAUAAAAUGUUCCACGUGUGGGAUUUUGUAUGUACCAUAUGAAUAAGGAUCGGCUAACUCCGUGCCAGCAGCCGCGGUAAUACGGAGGAUCCGAGCGUUAUCCGGAUUUAUUGGGUUUAAAGGGAGCGUAGGUGGGUUGUUAAGUCAGUUGUGAAAGUUUGCGGCUCAACAGUAAAAUGGCAGUUGAAACUGGCAGUCUUGAGGACAGUAGAGGUGGGCGGAAGUCGUGGUGUAGCGGUGAAAUGCUUAGAUAUCACGAAGAACUCCGAUUGCGAAGGCAGUUCACUGGACUGCAACUGACACUGAGGCUCGAAAGUGUGGGUAUCAAACAGGAUUAGAUACCCCAGUAGUC